rnacentral:misc_RNA from 1 species
AACACGGAGACGCUGUGGACCC